CAGUGACAUUCUCAGAAAUAAAGACGGCCUUCAGAAGAAGUCGAAGAAGAAAUAUUUGAGGCCACCAACUGAAAUGAUUUCUCCCACCUCUGUUUUGAUGCCAAGAAGAAGAAGAAGCUGCUUCAGAGAGUGGUGCUUCAUGUCUCAGUGCUGUUUUGUUUAAUAAGAUCCACCACAUGAAGUCAGGGUGGGAGGGUUUUAAUGACCUCUGCAAACUGACCGACCUCUGCAGGUGUGAAGCGGUUUCUCCAGCACAGGGAGCAGCAACCCCCCCCAACAGAAAUCUGACUCUCCAGUCACAGGCAAACAAAAAGCUCCAGCAGGUGGAGGCUGUGUGGGUCGUGCUGGAUGUUGCUGAUCAGAGCCUGUACAUUAGCAGAGGGCUUCUGCUCCCACUGACCCACCUGGACAGUGACUGCAGAGCUGCUCUGGAAAACAGGAAACAGAAAUAAUAUUUAAAAACCCAAACAGGAUUUCUCUAAAGACCACUACACCAUCUUGAAAUCAGUAAUCAAAAAUGCAUCACAAAUUUAUAGAAAAUCAUUGAUUCAUUUUUUUAAAAUUAAAUAUGAAUACAUGGAUGGAUUCUUUAACUUCUCAAUAUAAUUUUUAGUGCAAAAGAACAAACUGACAGUGACUGGCAUUCUCCAUGUACACAGCACAGUUAUGCUGGCCUUCAUAUAAAUAUAGGAAUAA